AAAAUUAUACAUGAUUCAAAAUAGUUUUUACAAAUAAAAAACUGAAAAGUGUGGUGAGAAAAAGUAUUCAGGCCCCAUGAGUCAACACUUUGUGGAUCCAUCUUUUGCUUCAAGUCUUCCAGAGUUUGUCUCUACCAGCUUUGAUCAUCUGGUGCAGCGUUUCUCAACCUUUUUUGGGCCUCAAUGAUGGACCACGUAUCAGGUCCCUUAUCGACCCCCCUACCCCCAUCAAAGAAAAUGUAAGCUACUUGCACUGAAUAUUAUUUUAUGAUUAAUAUUAACAAAAAUUAGACAUCCUUUUAAUGUCAUACAAAUAUGAGACAGAAACAUGGAUGAUAUUUUUCAAUAGACCUGUCUAUUGAUUUAUAGAUUUACUGGACAGAAAUUACAAAGAGCAAAGCUGGUUCUUAAUCCAGUCCCAAUGAGUCAAAUUGAAAGUGUCAUGGAAUCACUUAGCAGCACCAUGACAUUAAAACUGACAUAAAAAAAUAAUAUGAAUGUAGUGGUAUAGAAAUAUACAUAAUUCCACACAAAUAGUUUCCAGGUGAGAAGUUCCGGUUCUUAAGGUGGGCGUGGUGUAUAUAAGGAGCUGCUGCGUUCAAUCAGGAUGUGUCUCUUUGUUCUCCCACUGUGUGGUUCGCGUCCUGUGGGCUCUGGCAGCGAAAAGCAGCCAAUCGCCGGCUGGUGCAUGUUGCGCUGAUAUCCUGGUGUUGCUGAGGUCCGGUGUUGGUGUGGUGACGGUGUCUUCCUCUUCUGCGUGCUGUGAUUCUUGAGUUUGGGUUUUCUCACUGCGUCUGGUGUUUAAAGUUUUUUUUGUUUUUUUUUUUUUGUGGCUUGCUGUGUUUGGAUAUCGUCCCCAUAGCGCCCCCUUCGGCCGGUAACAGCUACUGUAGCUCUUCUACUUUCUUUGACUUCCUUUGUUUUUCAUUCUUAAACUGGUUUUAAAAAGAAUAUAUAAAAAAAAGAAUUUAAUAAAUGAUUUUUGUAAACUUUAAACUGUCUCAGAUGUUUCAAUCCUUCGCAUAAUCGAAACUGUGCGCCUUAAAUAAAAGGUAAUAUUCCCAGGGUGGCGUUGUUGAGCGAUCUAUUAAAACUAAAGUUCCACAAAAUCUGAGUUUCAUCUAGUAUCGCCACAUUGAAGAAACAAAUGUAUAAAAUAAUUAAACAUAAAUAAGUGAGCUUCUUACUGCUAUAGUCUGUAAGAUGCAUUUCUUCUUGGUACUAGAUGUGGUCCCAACAAACCCAUGGCAUAAUAUUAUCUUAUCUAUAGUGUCGUUUGUUCUUGCCAUACAGUCCCCUUUACUAAUUAUUGCUUGAAAUGCCUUGCCAUACCAGUUUAUUCUGCAUUUAGUUUCUUAGUUUGUUCUUUAUGCAUUUCCAUAGUUUCCUUUGAUUAGUACUGUCGUUUCUUGGUUUAUCUUUUUAGUUUCUCUCCUGUUAUUAGUUUGCUUCUCCUUUAUAUUGACGCUCACCAUCUUCACUCGUCAUGCCAUUCACCUGCUGCU